UUGAAACCAGAGCUGGGGAUGCAGCACUCUGAAGUGGAAAUGUCUGGAAAACUCUGAGGCUGUGGGAUCCCGAUGGAACAUGUGGUUCUCCUCUAUCAGCUGCAGCAGUGAGGGUUCUCUGAGAUCUGACAGGAAUUACAUGGGAGAACUGGGAGCUGUAUUGUCAAGGCAAUGCAAUGUCCCUUCAGGUAGAUACUGGUAUCUGAAACUGCUGACCCUGCUUGAGUUGAGAAAGGUCAUUCACUGACCUCUAAAAUGGAAGCCCCCAUGAAAUGUCCAUCCAGGCUAGAAGCACAGAUAACACCCAGAACUCUCUCAGAUGACAUUCAUCUUCAUCUGGCAUGGACACAAAUUAAUGGGUGGUAAGGAAGCUGAAACAGAGACCAGUACAAGACCUGGCAUGUAAAUCACCCAAGGUUGUGCUCUCCUCAUGCUUCGAGACGUAGCAUGAUCCAAUGCAAUGAUCAUGCUGGAUGUGAAGAACACUUAAUGUCUUUUAAUUAGGUUUUGAAGUAAUGCAUGCCAACACCCUGUAACUACUUCAGCCUUGACUCAUUCGUGAAGAUGCAUGCCAUAUGUAAGAGACCAACAUAAAAAGGAUGACCCCAAAACUAACACAUUUCACUGUUGACGUAUGCUUCUUUUUCAGACUGUGAAGCUCAGCUGACAUGCUCAAUGCCUGCCUGCAUGACACAGGCUGUCAUUAUUCAUUAUGGACUUGGUCUCAGUACUGUGACUCCAGGAAGCAAGUGUUAAUUGGUGUGAACAAAAAUGAAGGUUUUGACUUCUUGUAAACAACAGACAAAGGGCUUUGCAAUGGCUUAUCAGACAGACAGACUGGAACAGAGCUCUCUGUUAUUAGCAUUACUUCAUCUGAAAUGCUUUCAGCUUGGGAAUUUGGGGGAGGGAAUAGCAGACUCAAGUUUAGAAUGAUAACUCUAUAUUUGACUGUUGUUGCAGAGGGAUAUGUUCUCUAUUAAGGAGGGUCUUCCAAGGCAAACUGGGAGAUGUAGGGUCCCAGCUUCACACAGAGCAAGUCACUUCACAUUCCUGCACCUUUUCACCUCUUUUUAAUCCCUCUCUCUUUUUAAACUUCUAUGACCAAUGGUCUUUUUUCUCUAUAUAUUUUUUUGGACUUAUAGAGCACCCAUUUCCACUGGAUGUUUUAAGGCGAUACUUUGAUAGAAUAGUUUAUUUGAGCAUGAAGCAUCUUCACCACCACUCUGGUAGCCAGUAGUUUAAAAUUUGCAUGUUAUCAACUGUAUUUACUGCAUUUACUUUAUCAUGGAAAAUGCAUUAACAAUUACAAACCAUCAUUUUAUGGAGAGAAAAGCUUGUGGCUUUCCACAUGGUACAAAUGUGUGAACCUUGUCAAUUCAUUUCUCUCUCAGGCUACUGUGCCAAGACACUUACACCUUGAUGUGAAAAUCAAUUGAUGCAUCUAACAAGUGUUUACUUCUUCUCCAGCAGUAGCUGAGGAGGGUCAGAAAAAUUAGAUGUUAACAUUAGACAUUUUUACAAAUCAGCAUCUUGGAGCAAUUUGCACCUGAGUAUUUAGAGUAGGUAGUAAGACUCUGGCUAGGAAGUCCAGUAAAGCAACAGAUGGUUCACCCAUGUCUUUGGCAGGAGAACCUCCAAAGUGGGUGAGUGUAGGAGGAUGUCAUUUUGUGGGCACCUUCUUGGCCAGGGAGGAAUUAGCCUCACAAAUAUUGAGCUGAAUUUUUUUGAAUACUCCUCACAAAUAUUGAGCUGAAUUUUCCAGGACUAUCUGUUUAGUCCAGGACUAUCUAAACAGAUAGUCCUGGACUAAACAGAUAGUACUGGAAAACUCCAUUCCAACUCAGAGCUUGCCCACUUGAGCACAACUUGAGCACCAAUGAUUAUUCCAGUUACAUGAAACACCACAUGAGUGAGAUCUGACCAUGUUUCUUCAGGAAAUUCAGGAUGUGCUGACUAACUUCACCAUUUUGUAUCAGCACCCAUGUGUCUGCAAAGAGAGGGAAUGCUUUCCCCUGCAUUUACUGUGUAUUCCUUGUAUUUUGUCUGGAGCUGCGAUAGAUUCCAUAUGGACAUUUUCCCUUUCAGCUGCUUAUAGAUUCAGGUCUUCUGAGGUGGCUCUUCCAAGUCUAGGCAUGAGGCCUACUGAUAGUUACUACAGAGAAAGUCCCACCAGCUGUCAUCUAGCAGCAUUUUUUAAACAAGUGAAAUGUUUCAUGAGCUAGUCAGAAUCAGGCUGGAUUCUGACCUCAGUGACAUGAAGGUAAACCAGGGAUAUCUGCUAUGCUGAGGCAGGGCUUGUCCUGAGCACUCAUGUUGGCAGCAAAAACCUGCUCUCCACCAAUAGUCACUAUAGCUAAAAUAAAACCUGAUGGGGGAAACUGCAUUUGUUCGAGGAUAAAGACAUACAAGGCAAGAUAAACCAGCAAUUCCUUCCCUGACUCUUCCUCACAAAACCAAAAAGUUAAGUGGUACCUUUAGAAAAUAAAAAUUAUGAGAGGGCCUUGCAGGGUUUACAAGAGAUUUGGUCUGAAACAAAUCAGAUCGGCUGCAGUUUGCCAGCCAAAUAAAGCCUGCGACCGGUGGGCAUGGGAGAAAGAGAAAGGCAGUGGAGCUAUCUGGGGGCUAACAAAGAACAAAUUGCCAGCUCUCAGGCUGAGCUCAAAGUAGAGGUUAAUGAAUGAUGUGGGUAGAGAUGGACAUUGAGCAAUGGGCAGAAUGGAAAAACAAACAAACAAACAAACAAAAAACAGUCAGAGUAGGUCUCCAUUAUUUUGAAAAGACAGAAAAGGGCUGUGUGAGAACAAAAUAUCUUGCUGAUUUGUAGAGAAUACAAAAGCAUCACAAGUGUUUUUUCCUGACUCGGUACAUACCUGCUCUGAACUGGUUUACAGAGCUAAUGAACAGUUAUCUUUUUCAAGACAGGAAAUCAGUCAAAAUGUAGAGGACAGCAAGUUAUAUCUUAUUGAAGGAACAGAUGAUAAAGGAAAUUAGUGGCAAUGAACACAAAGUUUAUUUACAAAGGAGCCAAAUCUAAUCCGUCUCCUUGUCCUGAGAAAAAUCUCACUACAGAUUUCCCAACGCUCCCAAACUGCUUGCUAGACAGACCUUUACCUAAAUAUUUUUUUUCUCUCUCUCUCUCUUUUUUUUUUUUUUUUUUUUUUUUUUUUUUCUUCAGAGUAACCCUACAAAGACUUCUCUACUAUCAGUUUCAAUGAGCCUUAGUUUAAGCCUAGGAAAUAUUUUUUUUCCUAUGCCAUACAUUCACAUGUGGAUGCAUACAAUAUUAAAAUAAAAACACCACCACAUUUCUUUUUCACUUUUCAAGUCUGACUGAAAACCCUUCACUUGUGCAAUGUGGAUAUACCAAAAUUCCCUUAGGCAUGGUAAUCUGUAUUAAGCCAGAUGCCAGACUGGAUCCUAGGUCUGCGGUGCAACAAAUGAUGUUUCCCACUCCAUGAUCCGAAUCACUUGAUCCCAUUCACAGUGAGGUCCAGGCAUUACUAAGCGGCAGCAGUAAACUAUUAUUAUUAUUAUUGUUAUUAUUAUUAGUGAUAAUAAUAAUAAUAACAAUAUUCUAGCUGUUAUUCUAAUUCUAUUUGCACAAAUUUCUUUGGGGGUUAAAUGAUUGAGUUAAUGGGAUAUCGUGAUUCAGUCACUGCAUAACUGUUGAAAUUGUAGAUGGUUGGAGGCUUUGUGAUAGGAAACAUUGUCACGUUUCCAGCUUUUUCUUUCACACUUAUCUUCUCCAGUUUUAUUUACGUAGACCUUACCUGAAUUUGGGGCAAAAAGUUGUCACAAGUAGCUUCACUCCAAAGGACAACACUUUGUUAGUAUUAAAUCCAUUAUUUUUGUUUUAAAUAAAUGGAGAAAAAAAGUACAGAUGGUCAUCUGAUUGUAACACUCCUAUAAGAGCAUAAGAUUGGCAGGAAAGUUGAUGUUCACAUAUGUCUGUUCUCACUAUAAUCAGGUACUUUAUCAGAAAUUAAUUUAAUACUAACUUUGAUGGGAUUAAAGAAAGACACAAAAAAAUUACACGUCUCAUAUCCUUAGCAUUCAUCAGGCUCAUCCUCCCCAAUGCAAAUUGUCGGUGAUAGAUUAUAAAAAACUUGUUUUUAUAUAUCUGCCUACAAAUCAUGAUCAAAGUAGAGUUCUUGUACAAAAUCACUGAGAACUAGUAGAUGGAUACACCCAGCUCUUGAACAGUCUGAUCCCAGAGCAUCUGUGUCGAUCCCCUGCUAACAAACAACACCUUCUUGUAAGGCACACACUAGUUAGUAGAUCAUACCUGUUAAGUCAGGUGGAAUUGGUCUCACCUCACUAAAGAGGUCUCUGGUGCAGACACCCCUAUCUGACAUACCUAUCAAGGCUCCCUCAAUAGGCAAGGGAUACUGAUUUACUGCUCUAGAAGGAGAUAUUUUUUCCUCUUUUAACUUAGGAUAAGUGACCAUGCCUUCCUAUUGUCUAUAAGGAGAGCAUGUUUAACUUAAACUGGAUUCCUAGCUUUGGUCAGUUGAAUGAAAUGAAUCUAUGAUAAAAGUAUGGGAAAUACUGACUUUUAAAGUUCACCUUACAGCUUAUAGAGACAGCAGACGGUGUCUGAGCCUUGGUGUGAUCUUCUCUUCAUACUUCUUCCAUGUUCUGCAAAUCUCAUCCUUUUGUUUACCUAAGAUGGACACUUCUUCCUAGUACUUCUCCAGAACAGAUCUUUCUCUUUCACUUCUUACCCAUGUGCUAUUCUUCAGAUCGAGGCAUUUGUGUUUGAUUGAUUGUUUGUUUGCUUUUCUUUGAGAAGCUGUCGAGGUUUUUGUCACAGAUGGUAUAAAUUGUUGUGCCUUACCUACAAAAGCUCCUUAGUGAGCACUAGGAUGAGCACAUGUGCUUGACAGUUAAUAGGUUCAGAAGUAAACUAAGGGUCCAAUACGCUUCAAGCAACAAAGCUGAAUUGGUGCUUCUCUCUUUCCUGGAAGAAAUAUGGGCUUUUUUCAAAGUUAAGUUUGUACCCAAACAAAUUAUGAAAAGAAUAUGACUCUCACUCAGCUUAAUUUCUUUCAGCCAGAUGGUGAAGGCAGCCACUCUCAAAGAAGGUCACAAGCUCCUUGUGGCUAAGAGUAAUCUAGAAUCCCCUUACUCAGGACUUCAGUAGAUUAGCAAAUACAGCUGUAUAAGCAAAUACCACUGGCACCGAGUAUUUGAAGAAUAAGUAAUGAGCAUUAUAUUCAGUAAUGCUUAUCAUAGGCUCAGAACAUAGAUAAUAUAAUUCCAGAGAUAAGUCGCUUUCUCAGAACAAAGUCACUUUCUUUUAUUUGUCUACAGUGCAUUGCAUUCCCCAUUAGGCUCAGUGCGUGGCCUAAGUAGCUAUGAGGUUUAACUUAGGAUUUAUUAUCCACUUCUUUUUAAGACCUAAACCUGUAAUGAAAACUGGAUCAUGCUACGUCUCAUUUUAAUAUAAAUGCAUAUUAAAAAAUAGGACUAUAAAGUAGAAGCCGUCUGCUGGCAGUGAGCUGCGGUCAUGAAACCAUUUGCAAGUGCCUUAAUUGAAUAGCUAACACUCCAAGAAUAGCAGGUUGAUUCCUUUCACAGCAUGUGUCGCACCAGCUGUGCAGGAAGAGGUGGUGGGGUCAUCUGCAAGUUAAUUUACAAACAAAACCAGUUAUAUAUCAGCAUUUCCACCACAAACAGCUUUUCCACAACAGUUACAUCCUCUUCAAAUAUUCUCAUGCAAAACUGUACUGAAAAGAUAUCUUGGGCUUUCUCCACUGCUAAAAUACACCAAGUAGUCAGGCCUUGUGUUAUAGCAAUUCACUGCCAUACUCAAGUAAUUUAUCCCAUGAGCAACAUGACUUCUUUAUCUCACUCAUAAAAGGUGCCCUGGGAGUGCUGAUACCAUCAAUUUUUCAAAUAGGACUCCCAGAUGUUGCAUGAGGUCUGGGUGGGUCUGUGAAGUAGGAGAUUUUGACAAUUUCUUUUAAGUUUUCCUUGCUGUGGGUGUUUAUAUUUAUCAAAAUUAAUUAAUUCAGGAGUUGUGUCUUGCAUGCACAAAUCUUCCAUUCAUAAGUUUUAGUAUAAGUCUGGACCAUGAUGCUCCUCACCAGCUUAUUGCUGUGUUUAAAUUCUUGUAGUGCCUUAGGCAUGUGGACCCUGACAAGGAGAAAUUCCUGUGCAGGAUCAGUGAACUCUCAGGGUCAUCUAUAUUCCCUGCUCUGCUGUAGAUUUGCUCUGUGGCUUCUUUUAACAAGUCCCAUUCCUGUUCUUCCUGUGCUGAAAGCCUCCCAGCUUACAGGUACUUACCAAGCUUUAAGGUUUGCCACAGCUUAAUUUAGCUGUUCUUUGGAUGUUUGGGUGCAAAGUAUAUAAGAAUUGCAAAGUUUGUUGAUGCACCAUCCACCACAAUGCCACAAAGGUCCCAUGUCUGGGACCUUUACUCCUGGACUGUGGAACAUACACACCAGCAUUAGAACUGAAGGUAUUCUGAAUGACUGUCUUUCAGAUGCCAAGUUGUCACCGUGCAUUGUGAUUUAAGAAGGUAUGACAAAUGUUUUACAAGAUUUUUAAUGGCUGUUAAAUCUAGAGUGCUGGAUGUAUUCCAGUUCAGGUAAUUACAUUCAGCCUGCUUAAAGACACUUUAACGGGAUAGAUCAUUCCUCACUGAGCCUCCAGUAUGGAAAGAAUGAGAGAAACACACAACACUGCUGACAUCCAGGGAACAGAGGAAUGCAAGGGAAUUUCUCAAGUAGGGGAGAAAGGAGAUGCAUAUAUUUGUAUAUCUUUGUGUAUAUUGGCUGAGAAGAAGGAGCCCUUGGAAAGUGAAAUAAACUUACUCUAGAAAAGCAGGAAAACUAUUUUCUGUGGAGAUGUUGUAAAAAGUGAAUUGAAUGCCAGACCAAAAUUUAGGGAGCUGUGUGAAACUCAGCAGACAGUUGAUGCCAAAUUGCUUGUUUGUUACUAAAUUAUAAACAUGUAGUAUUUUGAAAGUUGCCAUUUCAAACAUCAAGCUCCAGCCUAGAAAGCCUCGGGAUGUUUUCCAAAGAAAUAAGAAAUCAGGCUUGACAAAUGUUAUCUUCUGUUUUUGAACUCCAUAGACAUUUCUGGAUUGUGCUUUCAUAAAAGGAGGUUUAUUCUCAUGCUUUUGUGAGUGCCAGACUUUUAAAUUUGGUAAAUGUGAUAGCCCUGAAGGGCUCCUUAUACAGCAAUCAGUUAGUUCUUCUUUUCUUACAGCUGGUCUAUCUUUCUGCCACAAAUUCAUUUUCUUUUCUUACUGAGGAAAUGGAGAUGUAUUCACAGAUCUACAACCACAAAUUAAUUUGCAAGAAGAGUUUGACUGAUUUCAGUAAAUUGGAUAACACCUAUUAGUAUGAAAGAAGCAGGAAUUGCUGGCCUUUUAGGCAAUGCAGUAGAUAACAUCUGUUUUGAUGUAAUUUUGAGGACUGAAGAUAUGGGAACUUGGUGAGCAUUUUUAACGUUGCUGACUGUCUAUCACUUGUAUAAAUGGUUAAUUUUUAAUAAUUUGUUCAUUGCUAGUGGUAGACAGAGCAAUCAGAGACAAAGCACAUAACACUAAUCAAUCAUCCCUCUAUUGCAGUGAUUUCAGAGUAAUUUUGUCUCUAUCAGCCAUGAUUACCGUUCCUGAUUGGCUCUGAGCAAUGCCUACACCUGGCAUAUCCACAUUCUUAUGCCCAUUUGUUCACACUCUCUCUUAUUUUCCAUUACUCACCUACUUUACUUACUGCUGACAGAUUAUGCUAUUUUAUACUAUUAGCUAUUUAAUAUAGCCUACACCCUACAACCUUGGCUUGAUUGAGAAUAAUAUAUAUAAUUGUAUUAGAAAUGAUAAAUAAUCUGAAGAAGCUAGUUAAAAUGGAUGCUCGACUCUAAUAUUAAUUUUCCCAGGUUAGUUUUACCCCAUACACACUGGAUACCUUGUGUUGUUCAGGGAAAGAGCAAUAGAGACAUUUCUAGCCUCUGCGGGAAAUUAAGAAUCCUCUAGUGAGGAUCCUCCUGCUCUGAAAACAGUCUUUCAACUAAACAUGUAUUGGAGUUGUUGAAAUCUUAAAAUGGCUUUACUCCCAAGAUGUCAUCCUGUCUGGUGGCAAUCUUGGAGGGCUUCACACCUCACAAUAGAUUAUGAUUUAGAUAAAGAGGUGGGCUAGUUGUGAUGUAUUACCCUCUAAGGAAGGUUCUGUCUUAUUUAAUCAGACAGAAGAUAGGUUAGGCAGGUCUUUCAGCCCUGUGACCUUCUGAACACAAAUUAUUUCCAGAUAAAUAAAGAGCCUCCUCAGAGAUUUUUCUUCUAGAGGUUUCACAAAUACUUUUAAUCCUAUUACUUAUCAUCUGGAAAGCAGCUUAAUUCUUGGGAGCAGACAUGAAAACACUGUUUAAAAUUGAAUUAUAUAGUGAAUAUGCCACUAUAAAUUACAUAAAAUUAUUACUAUUAUAUAUAAUUCAGAUCACUAUAUUGUGAAUAUACCCUUAUAUGUAGUAAAUACAUAUUUAAGGUCUUUAUAAAUGAUCUGAGUGAUGAGGGAAGAGUGUACUCUCAGCAAAUUAGCAAUUUGCAAUUUGCAAUUGUGUAUCAUGCAAUUUGCUGAUGACAGAAAAUGGGGGGAGUGGAGGAUACACCAGAAGGUCAUGCUGCCACCCAGAGGGACCUCAACAAGCUGGAGAAAUUGGUUGAUAAGAACCCCAAGAUGUUCAACAAGUGCAAAGUCCUGAACGUGGAACGGAACAACCCCAGGCACCAGUGCAUGCAGAGGACUACCCAUCAGGAAAGGAGCUCUGCAGAAAAAGACCUGGGAGCCCUGGUGGACACCAAGCUGAACAUGAAUCAGCAGUGUGCCCUGGUGAAAAGAAGGUUCCUAUGAAGAAAGGCAGAGAGCUGGGACUGUUUAGCUUGAAGAAGAGAAAGCUUGGGGGAUCUUAUCAAUGUCUAUAAACAACUGCAGGGAGACAGCAAUGGCUGGAGCCAGGCUGUUUUCAUUGGCACCCAGUGACAGGACAAGAGGCAAUGGGCACAAACUGGAACACAAGAGGUUUCAAUGUCAGGACCUUUACUGAUGCAAGUCACUGGGCACUGGUAUAGAUUUUCCAGAGAGGUUGUUCAGUCUCUGUCCUCUGAGACAUUUAAAAGCCAUCUGGAAUUGGUCCUGGUCAACCUGUUCUCAGUGACCCUGUUUGACCCUGUUGACCCUCCAGACGUCCCUUCUAAUCUAAACCAUUCUUUUAUUCUGUGUUAUUUAAUCUUUAUUUUCAAAGUAAGAACUAAUUCAGAAUUUGGGAUUAUAGAACAUGAUUCAAGCCUAUUACAUCAGUAUCAGUCAUGAACAAAACUAUGGUUUUAUAUUGCAUUUGCCCCAGAGUAAAAUGUCCCAACUCUGUGCUGGAAUUUAGUUUUUUAUUGUUCUCCUGGUAUCUAAGGAUCUCAGGACAUCUAAGUGCAUUAAUGGCAUCUAAGGGCAACAGUAGUGCCAAAUAUCUUAGCAAUCUCUUUCACCUCAGACCUCCCCUAAUUGUCACAAUAUGUUAUCUGGCUUACAGCCUUUCAUAAGCUGGCUUAUAGACUUCUUCUUGUUCUGCUUUUGGCUAGGAUAGAGUUAAAUUUCCUCCUAGUAGUUGGUAUGGUGCUGUGUUUUGGAUUUAGAAUGAAAAUACUGUUGAUAACACACUGAUGUUUUAAUUGUUGCAGAGCAGUGCUUACACUAAGCCAAGGACUUUUCAUCUUCUCGCUCUUUCCUGCCAGUGGACAGGCUGGGGAUGCAAUGGGAGCUGGGAGGGGACAGAGCCAGGACAGCUCACCACAAGUGGCCAAAGGAAUAUUCCAUACCAUGUGAUGUGUUGUGUCCUGGUUUUAGCUGGGAUAGAGUUAAAUAUCAGAAAAAUAAAAACUGAGCAAUUGUGAUAAAACAAAACAGUGAUAGAUGGGUGCACACACAGCACACAUACGUGAUGGAGGCAGGGAUAAAAAUAUAAUUGUAAAACAAAUAGUGAGAAGCAUAAUUCGAAAGAUGAUAACGAAAUAAAAUAUUGGAAUUUGUACCUGUUACCAAUUGAGACAGAUACCACUGUGGCAGGCUCCAGUGUGGCCUUGUCACAAUCAUCUUGGGAACUUUUACUCAGGAAAGUGGUUUACAUUUUUAAUUCAGUGUUAUUAAUUCAUUAUUAAUUCAGCGUUAGUAUUCCCCCGUAAUGAUUUGGCCAGAUACCACUCAGAUCUAGAGCAGCACAUGCCGUUGCUGACCAAGAACCAGAAACUGCUUGGAACCACAACAUGAUCUCUCAUGUUUUACAUCCAUUCAGCUUUGAGUGUAAAAUAACAUCACAGGUGCCAUGAGAAACGUGGGAUCAAGGAUCCAUUCACUUCCUUGCCUAUGUAUAAUCAAACUCAGACAAGCAGCCCUUCAGAGCCUGCCCUUUCACUCUUCUCAGUCUCUUUUCACAAAUGUUAAAGGUGAAUGGUGGCCCCCGGGGACUCCUCCUGUCACCCCAGUGCAGCAGCCCAAAGGGAGCUGGGUCCUCUCUUGUGCUCUUCCUAGAGGCUCUGUGCAGAAAGGGCUGCCACCUCUCGCACAAGGGCUGGGGGAUGGGAAAGAAGCACUCACACAACCCCUGAGAAUUGGCAAGAGUCUUUAUUGCCAGGACAUCUUGCAGGCAAGCCUGCAGGAUGUCCAUUGUUUUUGGUGGCUCCAAGCUAAUGCUUGGCAUGGAGCCUGCGCGAUGAGUAGGGAGCUCGCUGGGCACUGCUGCGAUGCUGUUUGAGCUCUCUGAUGGCAGAGAGCGAUGACAGGCUGGGGUAGGUGCAGGUCUGCUCUGGCUGAGGUGGAUCCACUUCCAUCAGCUCUUCCUCAUCUCGUGGAUCCAGCUCCAUGGGCUCCACGGUGUUUGGCAGCAGGACAAGCCAGUCCUUGCCUGGGACUGCCCAGAUGGGAUGCCUUCUGUCUGGAAUGUUUUCAGGCCAGGGUGCCGAACCAGGGGGUCUUCCAGUUCCACGCUGAGGUCCCAUGCCACUGUCCAGUUGAUUUCCAUGCAUGGGGUCAACGUUGCCAUCUGUUUUACGGCUGUGACUGGGUCCCACGCUGUGUUCGGGAUUAUGGGCACGCCUGAUCUCCCCACGGCUGUCCAGCUGAUGGUCCUGCCUUCUCCCCACGCCACCAUUGCACCAAUGAUUAGGCCCAGGCCCCCUGUCGCUGUAUGUUUGAGGGGCUGGCCUGUUCCCUGCGACACUGCGGUGCCAAUGAAAUCGCCUAUAAAUGUCGGUGGGCUGGCCGCCAGAUGUCCCUCAAGCACUGGUGUUAGGUGUGCUGCAGGUGCUUUCCCUCUGCCCACGACACUUUUUCUCACUAGGUGCGUUCCUGCUCAGUGUUUCCUCAGACUGCAUUGCUGUCCUCACACCGAGAGGUCUGCUGCUCGCCUUGCUCUUUCUAGUUCUAGCCUCUGGCCUCUCAUCAGUGUAACUCAGAAUCAUAGAAACAUUAAUGUUGGAAAAGCUCUCCAAGAUCAUCUGGUCCAACCAUCACCCUAUGAUCAAUGUCACCCACUAAACCAUG